rnacentral:rRNA from 1 species
CUCAAAGAUUAAGCCAUGCAUGUCUAAGUGGAGUAUUAUACAGCGAAACUGCGAACGGCUCAUUACAACAGAUAUAAUUUACUAGUUCUUGAUCCUAUAUGGAUAACUGCGGUAAUUCUGGAGCCAAUACAUGCAUCAAGCCUCGGCCUUCGGGUUCGGGGUGCAAUUAUUGGAGCAAAACCAGUCUCGUACUGUUUGCUAACUCUGGAUAAUUCUGCUUAUCGCAUGGUCUUGUACCGGCGAAGUUUCUUUCAAGUAUCUGCUUUAUCAACUAUCGUUGGUAGUUUAUUGGACUACCAUGGUGUUGACGGGUAACGGAGAAUCAGGGUUUGACUCCGGAGAGGGAGCCUUAGAAACGGCUACCAUGUCUAAGGAUAGCAGCAGGCGCGAAAAUUACCCAAUAUCAAAACGAUGAGGUAGUGACGAGAAAUAACGAGAUCGUUCUCUUUGAGGUCGAUUAUUGGAAUGAGUACAAUCCAGAAAUUUUAACGAGUAUCUACGAGAGGGCAAGUCUGGUGCCAGCAGCCGCGGUAAUUCCAGCUCUCGUAAUGUAUAGAAUUAUUGUUGCGAUUAAAAAGUUCGUAGUUGGAUUGUUAAGCGAGCAUGGGUCCAUCUUCGUGAUGCGUACUCAAUGCUCGCGCUUUGUUGGUUUUUGCGGCGUUGCUCACGCGGCGUUCGUGAUGCCAGCAGGAUUACUUUGAACGGCUCAAGUGCUCAAAGCAAGUCUUAUGACUGAAUACCGGUGCAUGGAAUAAUGGAACAAGGUUUCGUCCGAGUUUUAUUGGUUUUGUCGGCUGAAACAAUGGUUAACAGGAACAGCCGGGGGCAUUCGUAUCGCUGCGCGAGAGGUGAAAUUCGUGGACCGUAGCGAGACGACCGACAGCGAAGGCAUUUGCCAAGAGUGUUUUCAUUAAUCAAGAACGAAAGUCAGAGGUUCGAAGGCGAUUAGAUACCGCCCUAGUUCUGACCGUAAACGAUGCCAACUGUCGAUCCGCUCGUGGAUUUGAUUCAUGAGCGGGGAGAUUCCCGGAAACGAAAGUUUUUCGGUUUCGGGGGAAGUAUGGUUGCAAAGCUGAAACUUAAAGGAAUUGACGGAAGGGCACCACCAGGAGUGGAGCUUGCGGCUUAAUUUGACUCAACACGGGAAAUCUCACCCGGCCAGUACAUCGUGAGGAUUGACAGAUUGAAAGCUCUUUCAUGAUUCGGUGAAUGGUGGUGCAUGGCCGUUCUUAGUUCGUGGACUGAUUUGUCUGGUUUAUUCCGAUAACGAGCGAGACUUUAACUAUUAAAUAGUGCAAUUGUUGCUUCGGCUGCGAUUGAACACUUCUUAAAGGAAUUUGUGGUUUCCAACCUCAAGAAAUUGAGCAAUAACAGGUCUGUGAUGCCCUUAGAUGUUCGGGGCCGCACGCGUGCUACAAUGGUGGUAACAGCGUGAUUGUCCUUUCCCGACAGGGAUUGGCAAACAGUUGAGAUAUUAUUAUGGCUGGAAUUGAGUGUUGAAAUUUUCUCUCAUGAACGAGGAAUUCCAAGUAAAUGUGAGUCAUUAACUUGCAUUGAUUACGUCCCUGCCCUUUGUACACACCGCCCGUCGCUGCCCGGGACUGAGUUACUUCGAGAAAACUAGGGAUUGUUGGAGUUUAAUGUUUCGGCAUUGUCUUCGAUGCGAACUAGUUUAAUCGCAGUGGCUUGAACCGGGCAAAAGUCGUAACAAGGUAGC